UGGGGAAUAUUGGACAAUGGGGGCAACCCUGAUCCAGCCAUGCCGCGUGAGUGAUGAAGGCCUUCGGGUUGUAAAGCUCUUUUGGCGGGGACGAUGAUGACGGUACCCGCAGAAUAAGCCCCGGCUAACUUCGUGCCAGCAGCCGCGGUAAGACGAAGGGGGCUAGCGUUGUUCGGAAUUACUGGGCGUAAAGCGAGUGUAGGCGGUUGCCGUAGUCAGGUGUGAAAGCCUUGAGCUCAACUCAAGAAAUGCACUUGAUACUGGGUGACUAGAGGACCGGAGAGGAUAGUGGAAUUCCCAGUGUAGUGGUGAAAUACGUAGAGAUUGGGAAGAACACCAGUGGCGAAGGCGGCUAUCUGGACGGUUACUGACGCUAAGACUCGAAAGCGUGGGGAGCAAACAGGAUUAGAUACCCUGGUAGUCCACGCCGUAAACGAUGGGUGCUAGACGUUGGCGAGCUUGCUCGUCAGUGUCGCAGCUAACGCGUUAAGCACCCCGCCUGGGGAGUACGGCCGCAAGGUUUGAAACUUAAAGGAAUUGACGGGGGUCAUAGCUGUUUCCU
rnacentral:rRNA from 1 species